rnacentral:rRNA from 1 species
CCUACGGGAGGCUGCAGUGGGGAAUAUUGGACAAUGGGCGAAAGCCUGAUCCAGCAAUGCCGCGUGAGUGAUGAAGGCCUUAGGGUUGUAAAGCUCUUUUACCCGGGAAGAUAAUGACUGUACCGGGAGAAUAAGCCCCGGCUAACUCCGUGCCAGCAGCCGCGGUAUUACGGAGGGGGCUAGCGCUGUUCGGAAUUACUGGGCGUAAAGCGUACGUAGGCGGCUUGGUAAGUUAGAGGUGAAAGCCUGGGGCUCAACCCCAGAAUUGCCUUUAAGACUGCCUCGCUUGAACGUCGGAGAGGUGAGUGGAAUUCCGAGUGUAGAGGUGAAAUUCGUAGAUAUUCGGAAGAACACCAGUGGCGAAGGCGGCUCACUGGACGACUGUUGACGCUGAGGUACGAAAGCGUGGGGAGCAGACAGGAUUAGAUACCCGAGUAGUC